GCGAACGCUGGCGGCAGGCUNAACACAUGCAAGUCGAGCGGGCGUAGCAAUNCGUCAGCGGCAGACGGGUGAGUAACGCGUGGGAACGUACCUUUUGGUUCGGAACAACNCAGGGAAACUUGUGCUAAUACCGGAUAAGCCCUUACGGGGAAAGAUUUAUCGCCGAAAGAUCGGCCCGCGUCUGAUUAGCUAGUUGGUGAGGUAACGGCUCACCAAGGCGACGAUCAGUAGCUGGUCUGAGAGGAUGAUCAGCCACAUUGGGACUGAGACACGGCCCAAACUCCUACGGGAGGCAGCAGUGGGGAAUAUUGGACAAUGGGCGCAAGCCUGAUCCAGCCAUGCNNNNNGAGUGAUGAAGGCCCUAGGGUUGUAAAGCUCUUUGUGCGGAAGAUAAUGACGGU
rnacentral:rRNA from 1 species